GGCCUGGUGGCCUAAUGGUAAGGCGUUGCUUUCCGGUGGCAAAGAUUGCGGGUUCGAGUCCCGUCUGGGUCG